UACGGGGGGGGCAAGCGUUGUUCGGAAUUACUGGGCGUAAAGGGCGCGUAGGUGGCCAACUAAGUCAGACGUGAAGUCCCUCGGCUUAACCGGGGAACUGCGUCUGAUACUGGAUGGCUUGAGUUUGGGAGAGGGACGCGGAAUUCCAGGUGUAGCGGUGAAAUGCGUAGAUAUCUGGAGGAACACCGGUGGCGAAGGCGGCGUCCUGGACCAAUACUGACACUGAAACGCGAAAGCCAGGGGAGCAAACGGG
rnacentral:rRNA from 1 species